CCUCAAGGACGACCUCGAGGACGAUGCCUAGAGGACGACCUC
rfam:Ixodes scapularis strain Wikel colony gcontig_1107729168582, whole genome shotgun sequence.